GGAGAGAUGGUUCAAUGGUUAAGAGCACUGGCUACUCUUGCAGAGGACCUGGGUUCAGUUCCCAGUCCCUACA
rfam:Neotoma lepida isolate 417 scaffold_205, whole genome shotgun sequence.